GUACAUAAAGAUAUUGUAUUUUCCAGAUUUCCUAAAUAUCCUAAUUUACGAAACAAGAAAUUAAGAAACAAUUAGAUUCAGACCAUGAAACGAGAUAAUUCUCUCUUCUGAAGGACGCCUUCUCCUUAUUUAAGCCUGUGCUAAUUACAUUUCGAUGUAUCUUGCUUUCUAUCGAGCAGGAUACCAAACAAAAAUAUUACAUAGAGAUGCAGUACCAACAAUAUUCACUCACAUAUCUCACAUAAGGUAAAGUUAUAACGACCAGAGCCGACACUAUACACUUCUAAAGAAAGUGAACAAGAGGAAAUAUUUUUUUUUUAUCACCAAAAGUCGGAAUUGUUCAGUGCUUCGUAGUCAUUGUAUUCUAACUAUAUUGAAUAAAAAUCUUAUAAAGAA